rnacentral:misc_RNA from 1 species
UGCUUACUAAGAGUGAUCCCAAUAUGGGUAGCUGGAACUAUCUAUUAUGUCUCUGUUGUUCAAUCACAAAAUUAUGUUAUCUUCCAAGCCUUACAAAGUGACAAUCAACUAGGCCACAACAAUUUCCAGCAUCUUUCAUAGGCAUUUCCAUGCUCAGCAUAACCAUCUGGUUACCAAUAUAUGACCGUGUUUUACUUCCAUGGCUUCGGA